rnacentral:rRNA from 1 species
UGGGGAAUAUUGCACAAUGGGGGAAACCCUGAUGCAGCGACGCCGCGUGAGUGAGGAAGUAUUUCGGUAUGUAAAGCUCUAUCAGCAGGGAAGAAAAUGACGGUACCUGACUAAGAAGCCCCGGCUAACUACGUGCCAGCAGCCGCGGUAAUACGUAGGGGGCAAGCGUUAUCCGGAUUUACUGGGUGUAAAGGGAGCGUAGACGGAAUUGCAAGUCUGAUGUGAAAAUCCGGGGCCCAACCCCGGAACUGCAUUGGAAACUGUAUUUCUAGAGUGUCGGAGAGGCAAGUGGAAUUCCUGGUG